CAGCCGCCGCGGUAAUACGAAGGGGGCUAGUGUUGUUCGAAUUUACUGGGCGUAAAGGGCGCGUAGGCGGACUGAUAAGUCAGGGGUGAAAUCCCAAGGCUCAACCUUGGAACUGCCUUUGAUACUGUUUGUCUUGAGUUCGAGAGAGGUAAGUGGAACUGCGAGUGUAGAGGUGAAAUUCGUAGAUAUUCGCAAGAACACCAGUGGCGAAGGCGGCUUACUGGCUCGAUACUGACGCUGAGGCGCGAAAGCGUGGGGAGCAAACAGGAUUAGAUACCCGCGUAGUCCCUGUCUCUUAUAU
rnacentral:rRNA from 1 species